rnacentral:lncRNA from 1 species
AGCCUCAGGAAGCAGCAGCCUCCGCUCCGCGGCGGGUGUGCUCGGCAGUCACAGACCCACUCAGGACACCUCCCGUUGCCGACGGGCUAGACCUGCAUCCGAAGGGCCUAAGCGGGGAGGAACCGCUUUCCACCACUCUCCAGGGACCUGGGGAGGGAAUGUUUAGGCCGUAGGGGUGGAGGACACAGGAAACGUAACAUUUUUCCUUAACUGCGCCUCUCUUCUUAGGCCUUAAAGGGGUCCCCGUGUCUCUCCAGUCUAGAGCCUAAGUUCAAACGAGGCGUAUAGGCGAGGACAGCAGGAAGGCUCCAAGUCAAACAAACGGAUGGUACGAAUUUCGCCUGGUCUAGCCCUGCCCCAACGGUGUGGGUGUGGGUUGGGUGCUGCAGCCCCCGAGCAAGGGGCUGUCACAGCCACAACCAGAGGAGCUAUGGAGCUGCUACGGAGGAGGGAUUCCAGAGUCAGCUUGGGCUUGUCCCAAGGGAGCCCUUGGGACAGUGUCUGGGGCUGCGCGGCCUGGUUCUCAUCCCUUGCAGCAUCUGCUAUUUUAGCCAGGGGCCACCUUCCUCCAAUGGCCUGGGAGUAGCUAGAGGUUAGAGGUUACACCCACCAGAAGGGAUGUAAGCCCAGGAAGUAGUCAGAAAGGAAAGGUCAUUCUAGAGAUGGGGCCACCUGAAAAACCUUCAGGAGGAAGGAGAAAGGAAAUGGGAUAAGUGUCAUGUCAUACUAAAUAUUUAUUUUCUGCAGACUGA